UCCCUGCCCGCGCCGGGCCUUCCUGCCAGCUGCGCCGGCAGAGCCGCCCCCCGCCCGGAGAGCGAGCUGGAAGCGGACGGCGGGGAAGGAAGAAGGGCAGCGUAUCUGGUGAAGGUGUGGAGCGCAUGUCCUGUGAGGAGCGGCUGAGGGAGCUGGGAUUGUUCAGCCUGGAGAAGAGGAGGCUCAGGGGUGACCUUAUCACUUUCUGCAACCACGAAAGAAGGCUGUAGCCAGAAGCAGUGAUGACUACAUGUGCCUCAGGAAGACUGACCACAAACAUUACCAGCAACAGUCUUAUGGCAACUUGGCAUUCUGAAGAGAUGAAAGCAGUAAAAAGCAUUUUUCAAUCAAACUGGACACAAAGAUAUUAAUGUCUGGACUGUAAAUGCUCCAUAACUCCCAGGCAUUCAGUUAAUCCUCCUGUACAUCCUGUUUCUACCAGGUUUGAUGUUUGCAGAGUUUUGCCAUACGUAGAUGGUUGUGUUGAGAGACAGAGCUCAGAAUAGACAGCUCUAAGAAAAGCCUCCAGGAUGGCAGUACAGUGAAUGAUUACCUUUCAGAAAUUGUUCUCAGCAAACUACUGUAGCUCAUAAGGCUCUGCAAUCAAUGCCCAGGGAAUGGGAUGGACUCCCAGAGCUAGCUGCCUUCCCACAUAUACUGCAGCAAAAUGCAGCACACAGCUUCAGGAACUGCUACAGACAGUUGCACCAUCCCACUCAAAUCCAUGGAUGCUAGAGACGAUACUUGCAAUCAGCACUUAUUCAUAAGCUUUUGAAGCUGUUGGACUAGAAUUUACAUGUUUUAGAUCAGAUUUAAACAUGCCUUGGAAGAGCUGUUCCUGUAGACCUCCAAAGACCUAUGUCACCCUUGUGGUUUCAGGAGGUUUACUUAUUAAUUCAAAAAAGAAGUGGCACAAAGGUCCCAGUGAGCCAACAAGGAACUUGAUAGCAAAAGACCUAGAGUUUAGGAACUAAUCAGGCAGGCUACUGGGCUGCUCCUAGGUGUUAAAAGGUUUAUUUCGCUAUGUCCUGCAAUAAAUUUUUAGGAAAACAGCCUGUGAAAUCAGUAUCUUUUUAGAAGAUACUAUUAUCAACAUUGAUUUAAAUUUGUGCAGAACGCUGAAUUCUGUAUUAAUAAAACCUAAAUACUUAAAAGCCAGCAUUUAAAUAAGAAAAUAUUCAGCUACAGAGUUUUACUCAUACUUAAGUCAGUAAAACAUUUUUUUCCCCUUAUUAGUCACACUGAUUUAAGCAUAUAUUUUGUAAUAAAAGGUUAAGGCUGCUUUAUGGAAUUGAAAAAAGUCUGUCCAAGUUAUGUAGGUGCAGCCUGGUAUGUGGAUUAAAGUCAUGCAAAAAAAGUAUAUUAGAUAUGACAAAAGAAAGUGGGUGAUCUAGCAACUGGGGCACAGAUACUUCAUGUUGAUAUUUGAAGAUGUGAUUGGUAAAAAUGGUGAAAAUACUUAAGGGAAGCUUUGCUAUGACUCAGACACUACAUGAAAAAAAAAGAUUAUUGGGCAACUUGGAUCCAACUGGAGUAACAAGAUGGCUUUUAAACUGUAAAAUUGUACAAUAAUAGCUAAAGGUAAACCAAAAGCUUAGAUACUUUAAAGCUUCAUAAUUUUUUUUACUAAUUAUAUUCAAAAGACAAUUGUAUUGAUAUAGUACUUUAUGUUCUUUCUAAAUAUUUGUGCUUAGAGAGAGUUACCAUAGACCAUUUCUGUUUGGAAAAGUCACAUUUCUGACCAGUUUAAAGCCAUGUUCGGAAAUUUAUUAAAUGUUUACCUAUUUUCAGGAGGAUUUUACCAGAUUUCCAAUAUUAAAUGGACCUGCUUUCUAAAUUAACUAUUUUGCUACUAUAACCACCACAAUCUCUGACUGAGGAAAAAUCCCUGCUGUCAAAAAAACACCUUUUUGAA